rnacentral:rRNA from 1 species
UCCAGACUCCUACGGGAGGCAGCAGUCGGGAAUAUUGCACAAUGGAGGAAACUCUGAUGCAGUGACGCCGCGUGCAGGAAGAAGGUUUUCGGAUUGUAAACUGCUUUAGAUGGGGAAGAAAAAAGACUGUACCCAUAGAAUAAGCUCCGGCUAACUACGUGCCAGCAGCCGCGGUAAUACGUAGGGAGCAAGCGUUGUCCGGAAUUACUGGGCGUAAAGGGCGCGUAGGUGGGCGCUUAAGUCAGGUGUGAAAACUCCGGGCUCAACCUGGAGACUGCACUUGAAACUGGGUGUCUUGAGGGCAGGAGAGGAAAGUGGAAUUCCUAGUGUAGCGGUGAAAUGCGUAGAUAUUAGGAGGAACACCAGUGGCGAAGGCGACUUUCUGGACUGUACCUGACGCUGAGGCGCGAAAGCGUGGGUAGCGAACGGGAUUAGAUACCCGAGUAC